rnacentral:rRNA from 1 species
GGGCCCGCACAAGCGGUGGAGUAUGUGGUUUAAUUCGAUGCAACGCGAAGAACCUUACCAGGGUUUGACAUCCUGCGAAUCUCUUGGAAACAGGAGAGUGCCUUCGGGAACGCAGUGACAGGUGGUGCAUGGCUGUCGUCAGCUCGUGUCGUGAGAUGUUGGGUUAAGUCCCGCAACGAGCGCAACCCACGUCUUUAGUUGCCAGCAUUUAGUUGGGCACUCUAGAGAGACUGCCGGUGAUAAACCGGAGAAGGUGUGGAUGACGUCAAGUCAUCAUGCCCCUUACAUCUGGGCUACACACGUACUACAAUGCUACGGACAAAGGGCAGCAAGUUCGCGAGGACAAGCAAAUCCCAUAAACGUGGCUCAG